AUUUUAGGUAGUUUUAAAUGCUACGAUCAAAAAUUUUUACUUCAUAGGAAAAAGGGGAAAUUACUGAAUAUUUCUGAGGACAGGAGUGCCAUGUUUAGAGUAGUACAUGACAGGCAAUUAUAGAAUAGAAGUGGGAAAAACCUAGAGGGAAAGAGACCAGUAAGGAGCAUAUUCUGGUAAACAAAGUGGGACUAGAUUAGGUUCUAAAAAAGGGGGAAUAGCUCCAGUGAGAAUAUAGAGAAUGAGAUAGACCAAGAAUUGUCACUAAGAGGGGAAUAUCAGGUCUUGGUAGUUAUGGGAUUAUGUGUGAUAUAAGUUAAAGGAAAAUUUAAACAUGCAUGCAUUUUGAUUUUUUCUCUAGUGGGCACAGUAUAUAUUAAGAAAAAAUCUAUGUAGUGUUGUGCAGAAUAUCAGAUUUGGAAGCAGAGAGCCUCGGUAUGAAUUUUGCCUCUGCUAGUUGCUACUGUGAGCAGCAAUUCUUCAGAAAAAAACUGCAAAAUCAUACAGUUUUAUUAUACAAUCUCUAAGGACCCUUCCAUUUCUAAAUCUAUAAUUCUUACUCUAAUAGUUUGUUAUUAUAAUUAACUCAUUUUAAGCCUAGGGCUGUGUAAUGGUACCUGGGGCCCACAUGGUUCCCUUUUCUGUUGCUUUAGGGAAUACAAUCACAAUUGCUUCAGUCCCCCAGUUACAAAAAUUCCAAACACUUGAGCAAAGGUUUGGCAUUCUUCCUUAACAUACAUUUAUAUUUAUCACUAGUUAAUUCCUGGCCCUUUUGUGUUUGAAGCAAAAUUUAACUUAUUGAGAAGGUUUGGGAAAAGAAGCAGCAGAGUAUAUUGCAGUCUUAAUAGACAAAUACUGUCAGGGGAAGCAAGGGGAAGAAAACACUUAGAAUUUUCUUCAGUCAUUGUGAAGACAAGGAAGCAAACAUCAAAAGAAGCAUAAGACUUGGAUCAUAGGAUUUCAAUCAGGAAAAGAAGAAACUUUACCCAGAUUACACAGUUAAAGAGCAAAAUCAAGAUUUGUACAUAUGCCUCCUGACUACAAAACCAGUAUUCUUUUCUGCCACAUUUAGCUAAAGGAGCCACCUGCCAGUGACUGCUGGAGGUCUAAGUUAGACCUGUAGAAUGGAUUUCUUCAUGUGAGAGGAUGAUGAUACAAGAACACUGAGAGGCUUUGUCUCUUCUUCCUUCUUACCUCCAAUUUAUCUCAUUCCCAGUCUGCAACCCCUGUGUCAAUAAAGGCUGCUUUGCAAUUCCAA